rnacentral:lncRNA from 1 species
AAGAAUUGAAGCUCUGAACAGUUGAAGCUUUGAAGAAUUGAAGCUCUGAAGAAUUGAAGAUUUAAACUUCUACAAGCUCUCAAGAUGUGAAAGUUCGUAUCAACCUCGAGAUCAACAACUUCUGAAAGAUUGAAGACUUGGAAGAUCAAACUUUCCUUGAAUUCCAGAAGAUCGGAGUUCAAAUCGACUUGCAACUACAACAUCCAAACUUUCCUUGAAUUCCAGAAGAUCGGAGUUCAAAUCGACUUGCAACUACAACAUCCUGAAGACCGAAGAUCAAGAAGUUCUAAGUUUUAACUUGUAUUCGAGAGAAGACAUCAAAGGAGUAAAUACUAAAGAUUGUAUUCACAAUAUUCAUCAAUAUAUCAAAGUUCAAUUCCACAAAAUACAUUUCUUCGA